rnacentral:rRNA from 1 species
UACAGAGGGCGCAAGCGUUGUUCGGAUUCAUUGGGCGUAAAGGGUGCGUAGGCGGCGCGGUAAGUCGGGUGUGAAAUCUCGGAGCUUAACUCCGAAACUGCAUUCGAUACUGCCGUGCUUGAGGACUGGAGAGGAGACUGGAAUUCAUGGUGUAGCAGUGAAAUGCGUAGAGAUCAUGAGGAAGACCAGUGGCGAAGGCGGGUCUCUGGACAGUUCCUGACACUGAGGCACGAAGGCCAGGGGAGCAAACGGG